ACGACUCUCGGCAACGGAUAUCUCGGCUCACGCAUCGAUGAAGAACGUAGCAAAAUGCGAUACUUGGUGUGAAUUGCAGAAUCCCGUGAACCAUCGAGUUUUUGAACGCAAGUUGCGCCCGAAGCCAUCCGGCUGAGGGCACGUCUGCCUGGGAGUCACG
rnacentral:rRNA from 1 species